AGAUGCAAGGCCAAAAAGGCUUAGCAUUAGCCAUUAAUUACAAAAGAAAUUUAGCAUCCCAACUUUUAAUAUGUAACUUAUAAGAUCGAUAUAUAAUGAUAUUGCCUAGUAGAAGGGCGUAGUCACUUUCUAUCCAUACGAGACAUUGGGAGACUAAGUUUAGUGGAAUCUAAAAGAACAUAAACUAUCUAAAUGCUUCAAAAGAGAAGGUCACUGUAAAUUUUUGGACCAUAUUUUAUCACCAAAUUUUUCUCCAAAUAUUUAUCAAUUCAU
rnacentral:misc_RNA from 1 species